UGAGGAAUAUUGCACAAUGGGCGCAAGCCUGAUGCAGCAACGCCGCGUGAGGGACGAAGGCCUUCGGGUUGUAAACCUCUUUUCUGAGGGACGAGGAAGGACGGUACCUCAGGAAUAGGUCUCGGCUAACUACGUGCCAGCAGCCGCGGUAAAACGUAGGAGGCGAGCGUUAACCGGAUUUACUGGGCGUAAAGCGCGCGCAGGUGGCUUCGUUAGUCGGACAUGAAAGCUCCUGGCUUAACUGGGAGAGGCUGUUCGAUACUGCGGGGCUUGAGGUUGGGAGAGGGACGCGGAAUUCCCGGUGUAGUGGUGGAAUGCGUAGAUAUCGGGAGGAACACCAGUGGCGCAAGCGGCGUCCUGGCCCACACCUGACGCUGAGGUGCGAAAGCGUGGGUAGCAAACAG
rnacentral:rRNA from 1 species